rnacentral:rRNA from 1 species
ACGCUCGACACCUACGGGAGACAGCAGUCGGGAAUAUUGCGCAAUGGAGGAAACUCUGACGCAGUGACGCCGCGUAUAGGAAGAAGGUUUUCGGAUUGUAAACUAUUGUCGUUAGGGAAGAAAAAGGACAGUACCUAAGGAGGAAGCUCCGGCUAACUACGUGCCAGCAGCCACGGUAAUCUGAGCGGGCUGGCAAGGC